UGGGGAAUAUUGGACAAUGGGCGAAAGCCUGAUCCAGCCAUGCCGCGUGUGUGAAGAAGGUCUUCGGAUUGUAAAGCACUUUAAGUUGGGAGGAAGGGCAGUAAAUUAAUACUUUGCUGUUUUGACGUUACCGACAGAAUAAGCACCGGCUAACUCUGUGCCAGCAGCCGCGGUAAUACAGAGGGUGCAAGCGUUAAUCGGAAUUACUGGGCGUAAAGCGCGCGUAGGUGGUUCGUUAAGUUGGAUGUGAAAUCCCCGGGCUCAACCUGGGAACUGCAUUCAAAACUGACGAGCUAGAGUAUGGUAGAGGGUGGUGGAAUUUCCUGUGUAGCGGUGAAAUGCGUAGAUAUAGGAAGGAACACCAGUGGCGAAGGCGACCACCUGGACUGAUACUGACACUGAGGUGCGAAAGCGUGGGGAGCAAAACAG
rnacentral:rRNA from 1 species